rnacentral:lncRNA from 1 species
CCGACAGUUUGCCUAACAGGCGUACGAUUGUACCUUAAUCUUGGAGCACGAACGCUUUUUGGAGCCUUAUUAACAGUUCUGAAAACUUUCCAUGUUGGAGAAGAGACUUCAGCCGCAGCAGCUAGCUCCUGGUGGAUAUCAUGAUUUACGUUUCCAUUUUGCACUGGUCGCGGCGGAACAAAAGGCUUCGGUGACAAUAGUUCUAUAGGUCUACUGGAUCUUGCACGUCCAGAUAGCUUUUUUAUAAUGCUAGGCAUA